rnacentral:rRNA from 1 species
UACGUAGGGGGCUAGCGUUGUCCGGAUUUAUUGGGCGUAAAGAGCGUGUAGGCGGCUAGGUAGGUCCGUUGUGAAAACUCGAGGCUCAACCUCGAGACGCCGGUGGAAACCAUCUAGCUAGAGUCCGGAAGAGGAGAGUGGAAUUCCUGGUGUAGCGGUGAAAUGCGCAGAUAUCAGGAAGAACACCCGUGGCGAAGGCGGCUCUCUGGUACGUGACUGACGCUGAGACGCGAAAGCGUGGGGAGCGAACAGG